UACGUAGGUGGCAAGCGUUGUCCGGAAUUAUUGGGCGUAAAGCGCGCGCAGGCGGUCCUUUAAGUCUGAUGUGAAAGCCCACGGCUCAACCGUGGAGGGUCAUUGGAAACUGGGGGACUUGAGUACAGAAGAGAAGAGUGGAAUUCCACGUGUAGCGGUGAAAUGCGUAGAGAUGUGGAGGAACACCAGUGGCGAAGGCGACUCUUUGGUCUGUAACUGACGCCGAGGCGCGAAAGCGUGGGGAGCAAACAGG
rnacentral:rRNA from 1 species